rnacentral:lncRNA from 1 species
CCAUAGGCUUUUUAAUUGACAGGCAAUGCAUCCAUAUGGUACACAAGAUAUUCUCUCUACACCUGACCAUGUUGUUUUUGGAGGAAUUUGUAAGAUUUGGGAACUUGGGACUAGAAAAUCAGUUGAAUUCUGUAAGCCAGGCUUAGUAGGUCAUCCUAGGAUCCUGAAGGACAGAGCUCAAAGCACAGCCACUGGGCUUGAGCCCACUCCGAUGAUACUUUGGCAGAGUAUCACUGCCUUUGCCAAUGUGUUAGACUUACUUGAAGCUAAACUGAAAAGUAAUGCAAUAGUCUUUUGGGCAGGCAUCAAAGUAACAUAAUAUUGAAUCUGUAGUGUGGCUAUUAUUAAUGAUUCUUAUGCAGAUCUACAAUGAAAAGGAGCAACUGGGGAGAAAAGAAAAAUAAAACAUAGAGUUUGAAGAGGAAAAGAGCACCAGGAAACUUGGUGUGGCAGCUGAGGCUUGGGCCGUUGCGGCCACCAAGUUUACCAUGAAGUCUUACUUUCUUAGAAGGCUGAUGCCUGCCGUCACCUCCACCUGGUCUCAUUGCAGUUCAUCCAAAACAAAAACGAAAAACAAGAACAAACAAACAAAAACCAAAACCAAACCAGGGAAGGACCAGAAUAGGGAUGGUGAGAAACUUGAAACCCUCAAAGCUCUCUCCUGGUGAAGCAUUUCUUCCAGCAGGGCCAUGCCUUCUAAACUUCCUGCAACAGCCCUACCAGCUAUUGACCAAAUGCUCAAGUACCCAAGAAUAUGGGAGACAUCUCAUUAAAAGCAGCACAUUGAGCAAAAAAAGGGCCCGGUGUCUUAAUUAGGGUUUCAUUGAUGUGAAGAGACACCAUGACCAGGCAGGUCUUAAAAGGGAGAACAUUUAAUUUGGACUGGCUUACAGGUGCAGAGGUUCAGUCCAUUAUCAUCAAUGAGGGAAGCAUGGCAGCAUCCAGACAGAUGUGGUGCUAGAGGAGCUAAGAGUUCCGCAUCUUGAUUCAAAGGCAACCAGGAAGAGACUCUUGAUUCCACACUGGGCAGAGCCUGAGCAUAGGAGCCCUCAAAGCCCACCUACACAGAGAUGAACUCCAACAAGGCCACACCUAGUAACAGUGCCACUCCCUAUGGCC